rnacentral:lncRNA from 1 species
AAAUAAUGCCCAAAACAUGUACAGUUGAAACUCUCGAUUCACCACCAGCAUAAAAAGUCAUCUACCUUCUCUCUAUUCUUCUAUUUUCCGUCUCAAUUUUAUACCUCAAGACAGAGAAUUUAUGUACAAAAGGAUCCUCAUACUUCCAAUUUUUUUAACUCAAUCAACGAUGUGGAACGGAAAUCUCAUAAAGUAAGCAGAGAAAUUAACUUUUGUUUCUUCUUUUUUCGAUUUUUUCAGUUUCAAAUGUAGUUAUUUUUUCGGUGGAUAAUUUGUACUUAAUUUUUGUGGGUAUGGCAUUUGUUUAGGUUAUAUUUGUUUCGGUUUUUCUUAAGAUGUAGAUUGAUAAAGAGCAUAAUUUCCGGUGGGGGUGCAUAUUGAAAGUUAGCAUAAGUUUUCCGUAGAUGUGGAUUCAAGAAUAGUUUCAAUAGCAAAUGGCAGAAAUCAAAACUUCUGGUGGAGUUUUGAUGUUGCAGGAGACAAAGUUUGGUGGCUUCUUGCCAAAAUGUCAUUUGGAAUUAGGAUAUGUGUAAAACCAAAGAGCUUACUUGGCUUUAAUAUAGGAAAAUUAGUUUGAUAAAACAUAUCAAUAGGAAUUCGAUAAUUGUUGUGGACAUAUGUUCAGAAACUCAUGUUCUUUUCAUUUGUGGCAAUUUCUCGUCUUUUGUUCAUUGAAAGUGUUUUUUCGAUUAUUACUUUGUAUUUUUUAUUUGAUUGUUUGAAAUCUUACGAUAUAAUCAGAAUGUAUUGUGAAAUAUUUUUGGAGUAACAUUUCUUCUUUUUGAGAUUUUUUUGAACUUGUAGUGGCACCCGAAACAAUUCGUAUUCCUCCAACAACAUGAGCGUAGAAGAAAGGCGAUCGUUGAUUCUCACAGACCCACAAUUGACCGUCCACACACAACGGGAUCACCUCGAUUGUACACCUCAUUACGAGCGUACAAUAGUUAGACUUAGUAAUGCUGAUGAUCCCAACCGUCGACCACAAGCUCCACGAGCCUCGGCAGUGGGUUUAUCAUUCACUCAAAACCAGUGGGACCGGAUGCUAGCCCUGAGAAUGAUACUAUUUCAGCACUUUCUUUUAUUUCUCUAUAUCAUAUAAAAAUAGGAAGAAGACUAAUAAUUUGGUGUUUAUGUUUCCAAAAAUUUUGUAUCAACGAGCAUUUUAUAUAAGCAUGAUUGUGUUUUGC